AUGGAUCGAGCUGAUACUGGGGUGCGCCAGACCAGAGAUGACAGCAAUACUCCAUGUGUGGCCGGACCUGCGCUUUGUAGAGCGCUAGUAUGUGGGCCGGCUUGAAGAAUUGCCGUGCUCUAUUAAUGACGCCCAGCAGAGAAAAGACUACACGUGACGGCUCUCUUAUACUUAUAAGUAAAUUAUUUAAAUUCAAAGACCGUAAAGAUAUUGAAGGCCUCUCUGUUGAACGUACCAUUAAAAUAGCAUGUGCAGAGCUUGAGCGCGCCAUUGUUGUUAGUAUAUACAGACCCCCGAUGCAUUAUAUGAGUUAUUUUAGUGUAUUGGAGGAAUUUCUAUCAAAAUUAUCAGAAUCUAAGCAGUAUAUUAUGAUUUAUGGUGACUUUAAUAUUAAUUUAUUAGAAAAAUCCACCACUAGUAUAUAUAUAUUACUAAUAAUUAUAAAUCUCUUUUUUAGUAUAAAUAAAAAAUAAACAAAUGUGCUUCAAUUAAAAAGUUUAUGUUUGUUCCGGUUAAUAAUAGGCGAAUGGAGAAAUAUAGCGGCAAUGUUUCGGAAAAACUGUCAAAUUUGUAUUUGAAUUAUAACAGUACUCCAAAUGAGACGGUACCUAACGGCGACGAAUGGAAAAGGAUUGACAAAGGCUUCAGAAAUUCCUGGAAUUUCCCUGGUUGCUCAGGUGCUAUAGAUGGGAAACACGUUACCGUCAAAGCUCCACCAAAUGCAGGAAGUUAUUACUUCAACUACAAAAAAAAUAACAGCAUUGUUCUCAUGGCAGUGGCAGAUGAUGACUACUGUUUUUCAUAUAUUGAUGUUGGAUGUAACGGGCGUGUAUCGGAUGGUGGAGUUUUCUCCCAUUGUGAUCUUAGUCAUGCCUUGGAAAAUAAUUUACUGCCCGAAGGUCUUGUUCUAGUGGCCGAUAAUGCGUUUCCUCUAAAACCAUAUAUGAUGAAACCAUAUGGUGGAAACCAAUUGACAUUUGAACAAAAAAUUUUUAAUUAUAGAUUAUCACGGGCAAGAGGAAUCAUCGAAAAUGCUUUUGGCAUCUUAGUUUGUCGAUACAGAAUUUUCGAAAGGCCCCUACCCUUUUUUCCCAAGAAGGUGGAAAAAAUCUUAAAAGCCUGUUGGGCCAUGCAUAACAGGGCGAGAAAAACCAAAGUACCCGUACAGGUUGCCACGGUUGAUAUCGAGGACACAGAGAAUGGAAAUUUGAUUGAAGGAUCCUGGAGAGAAGUGACAUCAGAUGGACUUGUUCCAUUGACUAUUAGCAUGCAGAAUAGACCAUCUCAAAUUGCACAAAACAAACGCAAUAAUUAUGCAAAUUAUUUUGUAGGAGAAGGUGCAGUCUCUUGGCAGUCUCGAAUGAUAAAUUGAAGUAAAUCGUGGUUUUAAUUCAA